GAGUGGCGGACGGGUGAGUAACACGUGGGUAACCUGCCCAGAAGCAGGGGAUAACACCUGGAAACAGAUGCUAAUACCGUAUAACAGAGAAAACCGCCUGGUUUUCUUUUAAAAGAUGGCUCUGCUAUCACUUCUGGAUGGACCCGCGGCGCAUUAGCUAGUUGGUGAGGUAACGGCUCACCAAGGCGAUGAUGCGUAGCCGACCUGAGAGGGUAAUCGGCCACAUUGGGACUGAGACACGGCCCAGACUCCUACGGGAGGCAGCAGUAGGGAAUCUUCCACAAUGGACGCAAGUCUGAUGGAGCAACGCCGCGUGAGUGAAGAAGGGUUUCGGCUCGUAAAGCUCUGUUGUUAAAGAAGAACGUGGGUGAGAGUAACUGUUCACCCAGUGACGGUAUUUAACCAGAAAGCCACGGCUAACUACGUGCCAGCAGCCGCGGUAAUACGUAGGUGGCAAGCGUUAUCCGGAUUUAUUGGGCGUAAAGCGAGCGCAGGCGGUCUUUUAAGUCUAAUGUGAAAGCCUUCGGCUCAACCGAAGAAGUGCAUUGGAAACUGGGAGACUUGAGUGCAGAAGAGGACAGUGGAACUCCAUGUGUAGCGGUGAAAUGCGUAGAUAUAUGGAAGAACACCAGUGGCGAAGGCGGCUGUCUGGUCUGUAACUGACGCUGAGGCUCGAAAGCAUGGGUAGCGAACAGGAUUAGAUACCCUGGUAGUCCAUGCCGUAAACGAUGAUUACUAAGUGUUGGAGGGUUUCCGCCCUUCAGUGCUGCAGCUAACGCAUUAAGUAAUCCGCCUGGGGAGUACGACCGCAAGGUUGAAACUCAAAAGAAUUGACGGGGGCCCGCACAAGCGGUGGAGCAUGUGGUUUAAUUCGAAGCUACGCGAAGAACCUUACCAGGUCUUGACAUCUUCUGCCAACCUAAGAGAUUAGGCGUUCCCUUCGGGGACAGAAUGACAGGUGGUGCAUGGUUGUCGUCAGCUCGUGUCGUGAGAUGUUGGGUUAAGUCCCGCAACGAGCGCAACCCUUAUUACUAGUUGCCAGCAUUCAGUUGGGCACUCUAGUGAGACUGCCGGUGACAAACCGGAGGAAGGUGGGGACGACGUCAAAUCAUCAUGCCCCUUAUGACCUGGGCUACACACGUGCUACAAUGGAUGGUACAACGAGUCGCGAAACCGCGAGGUUUAGCUAAUCUCUUAAAACCAUUCUCAGUUCGGACUGUAGGCUGCAACUCGCCUACACGAAGUCGGAAUCGCUAGUAAUCGCGGAUCAGCAUGCCGCGGUGAAUACGUUCCCGGGCCUUGUACACACCGCCCGUCACACCAUGAGAGUUUGUAACACCCAAAGCCGGUGGGGUAACCUUUUAGGAGCUAGCCGUCUAAGGU
rnacentral:rRNA from 1 species